rnacentral:rRNA from 1 species
AGCGAACGCUGGCGGCAGGCUUAACACAUGCAAGUCGAGCGCCCCGCAAGGGGAGCGGCAGACGGGAGAGUAACACGUGGGAACAUACCUUUUGGUUCGGAACAACUGAGGGAAACUUCAGCUAAUACCGGAUAAGCCCUUACGGGGAAAGAUUUAUCGCCGAAAGAUUGGCCCGCGUCUGAUUAGCUAGUUGGUGAGGUAACGGCUCACCAAGGCGACGAUCAGUAGCUGGUCUGAGAGGAUGAUCAGCCUCACUGGGACUGAGACACGGCCCAGACUCCUACGGGAGGCAGCAGUGGGGAAUAUUGGACAAUGGGGGCAACCCUGAUCCAGCCAUGCCGCGUGAGCGAUGAAGGCCUUAGGGUUGUAAAGCUCUUUUGCCCGGGAAGAUAAUGACGGUACCGGGAGAAUAAGCCCCGGCUAACUUCGUG